rnacentral:lncRNA from 1 species
GGCUCUCCUGCCGCCAUGGCUGACAAGGAAGGUGAGUGUGCCGAGGCCGGCUCGGAAGGGACGGUGCUGGCUUGUAGGGCUGUGUCGUGGCCUGUUACGCGGCCUGAGACGGAGAGCAGGCCCGACUCUGGCGAGCCUCGUCCCAGCGACGCCGGCCUGAGGACUGAGCUCCCCGGCGGGGCGGGCUAACGGCGCAGCAGCUCCUCCGGAGCGGAUGCGAGGCGACGCCAGGUCUCCGGCCUAGGCGACUACGAGGCUCCCUGCCGGUCCCUCUGCCUGCCGAGACUCGGGGCGCCGCUCUCCAUCCCCAGGCUCGAUGCGCAGGUCUCCUCCCCGGGUUUGGCGGACUUGGCGCGCGCCACCGUGCUUCGUUCGGGGUUGGACACCAUCGGCCCCCGAAGGAGUAACGGAGUGUCCGGCUGGGGUGGCCCCAGGACUUCCGGCCCGCCGCGGCCGAGAGUGGCGUUGGUGCCCGCGACCUGGGAGAUUAAGAUGAAUCUCCAUUUCGUUGUCAAAAUCCGGGCGCUACGCCGGUGGCUUGGAGAGGUUUGUGCCCUUUCCGUUUACGUUCGCUAACUUGAUUUGUCUUUUAAAAACAUUUUAGCGGCCUUUGACGACGCAGUGGAAGAACGGGUGAUCAACGAGGAGUACAAAAUAUGGAAGAAGAACACCCCUUUUCUUUAUGAUUUGGUGAUGACCCAUGCCCUGGAGUGGCCCAGCUUAACUGCCCAGUGGCUUCCAGAUGUGACCAGGUGACGCGAAUCUUGAAUAUUUUUGAUAGUUCAUAUAUUUUAAUUUUUUUGCCCUCCAGUCACUCAGGGGGGACAUUAUCAGAGCUUAUGAGUACUAUUUAUUUUCCUCGACUAGAAAUAAUGUCAAAAACAGAAGAUCAUUUUGUAAUUUACCCUGCAAAGAAAACAUGCUCUGUUGUUGUGUUGUUGUUUGAUUUUUUUUUUUCUUUUUCUUUUACUUUUUUUUUUUAAGUCAUCUCUAUUUGUAUGAAUACACUGAAGCCAGAAGAGGGCAUUGGGUCCCAUUACAGAUUGUUGUGAGCCACCAUGUGGUUGCUGGGAUUUGAACUCAGGACCUUGGGAAGAGCAGUCAAUGCUCUUAGCCGCUGAGCCAGCUCUCCAGCCCUGUUUUUGUUUUUUCCCUCAGCAUGGAGUUGAAUAGCCAUUCUUAAGACUGGAGUUGGCCAUGUAAUAUAAAACUUGACCGUUUUCAAAAGUUAUUCUGGGUCCAGUUUAUUCAACAAAACAUUUGAUUUCUCAAGUCAUUUAUAAGGUUAAUAAAUAGCAAGAUAAAUCUGGGGUCUGCCUAACUGAAGUGGGGGCGAGUGUUUUCAGCAGUAGUGUGAGGUUUUAGAGCUUGGUGGGAGGUGGGGCAGAAGGGUUGUAAUGUUUAGUGAUUGAGACCUACUGAUGGGGACUUUGAUCCUCAGCACAGAAAGGGGGGGGGGCUGGGACCCUACAGCGAAUUGCAUACACAAAAUGAAGGGGAAAGUCUGUCAGCAUGAACUACCAGACUGGCCUGCUGAAACAAGUGGCAAUCCAAAGAUGGUGGAUGUGGGUAAUUACUAAUGUAAAUUUGGCAAAAAUGUACUGAAUUCUUUGGAAACUCAAGAGUUAAGAUACGUGCAGAAUUCAAUUAUGAGGCUGAUGGGGUUCAGCAGGUAAUAGAAAUUUGGAGUAAAGAGUUGUUUUGGUUUGAGGGCUAGGAAUUGAACCUUGUGCAUGGUAAGGAAGGCAGUACCAUCUGCAAUACAUCUCUACUGUCAUGGAAAGUUCAUGUGCAUUUUACUAGUAACUUAAGAAUGAGGCUGCUGGGCUGGAGAGGUGGCUCAGCGGUUAAGAGCACUGGCUGAUCUUCCAAAGGUCCUGAGUUCAAAUCCCAGCAACCACAUGGUGGCUCACAACCAUCUGUAAUGAGAUCUGACACCCUCUCUGGUCUGUCUGAAGACAGCUACAGUGUACUUAAGAUUUAAUAACAAAUAACUC